rnacentral:rRNA from 1 species
UACGUAGGGUGCGAGCGUUAAUCGGAAUUACUGGGCGUAAAGCGUGCGUAGGCGGUUCGCUGUGUCCGAUGUGAAAGCCCCGGGCUUAACCUGGGAAUGGCAUUGGAAACUGGCGGGCUUGAGUGCGGCAGAGGGGGGUGGGAAUUCCGCGUGUAGCAGUGAAAUGCGUAGAUAUGCGGAGGAACACCGAUGGCGAAGGCAAUCCCCUGGGCCUGCACUGACGCUCAUGCACGAAAGCGUGGGGAGCAAACAGG